GACGAACGCUGGCGGCGUGCCUAAUACAUGCAAGUUGAGCGAUGAAGAUUGGUUCUUGCACCAAUUUGAAGAGCAGAGCACGGGUGAGUCACGCGUGUGGACUCUGCCUUUCAUCGGGGGAACACAUUUGGAAACGAGUGCUAAUAGCGCAUAACAACUUUAAACAUAAUUGUUAAUGUUGAAAGAUGCAAUUUCAUCACUCAAAGAUGAUCCCGCGUUGGAUUAGCUAGUUGGUGAGGUAAAGGCUCACCAAGGCGAUGAUACAUAGCCGACCUGAGAGGGUGGGCGGCCGGACUGAGACGGAGACACGGCCCAAACGCCUACGGGAGGCGGCAGUAGGCAUACGUCGGCAAGGGAUGAAAGACUGAGCGCGCAAGGCCGCGGGAGGGAAGAAGGUUUCCGGGUCGGAGAACUCGGUUGGUAGGGAGGAACGUUGGUGAGAGUGGAACGCAGCUCAAGUGACGGUAACGGCUAAGAAAGGGACGGCUAACUACGUG
rnacentral:rRNA from 1 species